rnacentral:rRNA from 1 species
AAUCAACGCUGGCGGCGUGCCUAACACAUGCAAGUCGAACGCGAAAGGGCUUCGGUCCUGAGUAGAGUGGCGUCCGGGUGAGUAACGCGUGGGUAAUCUACCCUUGGGUGGGAAGUAACCAGUCGAAGAUUGGCUAAUACCGCAUAAUGCAGCGGCUCGACAUCGAGACAGUUGUUAAAGCAGCAAUGCGCCAGAGGAGGAGCCUGCGUCUGAUUAGCUUGUUGGCGGGGUAACGGCCC